rnacentral:rRNA from 1 species
UACGUAGGGUGCGAGCGUUUGUCCGGAAUUACUGGGCGUAAAGAGCUCGUAGGUGGUUUGUCGCGUUGUUCGUGAAAUUCCCUGGCUUAACUGGGGGCGUGCGGGCGAUACGGGCAGACUGGAGUACUGCAGGGGAGACUGGAAUUCCUGGUGUAGCGGUGGAAUGCGCAGAGUAUCAGGAGGAACACCGGUGGCGGAAGGCGGGUCUCUGGGCAGUAACUGACGCUGAGGUGCGAAAGCCAGGGGAGCGAACGGG